rnacentral:rRNA from 1 species
UACGGGGGGGGCAAGCGUUGUUCGGAAUUACUGGGCGUAAAGGGCUCGUAGGUGGCCAACUAAGUCAGACGUGAAAUCCCUCGGCUUAACCGGGGAACUGCGUCUGAUACUGGAUGGCUAGAGUUUGGGAGAGGGAUGCGGAAUUCCAGGUGUAGCGGUGAAAUGCGUAGAUAUCUGGAGGAACACCGGUGGCGAAGGCGGCAUCCUGGACCGGCAUUGACGCUGAGGAGCGAAAGCCAGGGGAGCAAACGGG